UUUUACAAAUAGCUUUACAAAAUCACUUUUGAAAAAUUGCUUUCCAUUUAAAUUAACGCUUUACAUCUAUCAACCAGAAUCAAUUAUCCAAAAUAAAAUUAAUUCUACAGGUAUAAUUUUCGCAGCAACUAGUGUAAAACUGGCCCUAAUAUCUAAAUGACUUUCUUAUGUAUUUUUUUGUGUCAAUUUAUUUUCUCUACAUUGAUAUAUUCUUCAAUAUCUCUUUAUUAUUAGAUUUUUUUUACUUUAAUAAAAGGCCAAUUUGCAUUACAAAAUCUAUUAGUUUUGAGAUUUUGCAAAAGAAGUCACUAUUUUAGAUUUUGAAAAUUCUAUCCAAAUUUUAGUAAGCUAAUCAAAAUACCAUUAUUCUUUCUUUGUCUCUCCAUUUUUUACGCUUGUUCAUUUUCUCCUUCCGCUCUGAUUUCAUCUCCGUUCUCGUCGUUUCUUCUUCUCCUUCUCCUUCUGUUUUCUCUCCCUUCUCCUCCUUCUCCACUGCUCCUUCUUCAAUGUUGUACUCUCUUCAUUUUUUUUUUUUUGCUCAUUUGUUUCUCUUUCUGCUUUAGUUCACCUCCUUCUUUGUCUUUUCCUCCUCUCAUUCUCCUCUAGCUUCCUCUCCAUUCUCUUCUUUUCCUCCUCCUCCUCCUCAUCCACCGCCUUUACAUUGACGCCAUGUUCUGCUUUCUUAUCUCGCCCACAUUUGUGCUGACGCCGCUUGGAUAUGGUAGCAUCAUUUAAAACAUUUAAAACUAAAUCUCAAACGGUGUAAUUUAGUUUCAAAUAUUUUUAAAUAGUAUAGUUUAGUCUAAAAUGUAUAAUUUCUAUUUUAUAUGGUGCAAUUGGUUUUAAAUAGUUUUAAAUGAUACAAUUUUCAUUCAAAAACUAUAAUUUUCAUCUUAAAUAGUGUAGCAUUCGUUUAAAGAGUACAAUUUUCGUCUCAAACAGUGCAACUUUCGCUUAAAUAGUGCAGGAUUUUUUUUCACACGGUGUUAUUUUCUGUUCAAACAGUACAAUUUUCGUUUAAGAAAGCAAUUUUUGCUCAAAGAGCAUAAUUUUUGCUCAUACAGUGUAACUUUUUGCUCAAAGAGUGCAACUUUCACUUAACUUUCAUCUCAAAAAUAUAAUUUUUGUCUGAAUGAGUGUAAUUUUUGUCUUAAACAGUGUAACUUUUGUCUUAAACAGUACAGCUUUUAUCCUAAAUAGUACAAUUUCAUUUUUUUUUCUUUCUUUCUCUAAUUCUUGACCUUUUCUAUUGUAGCAAUAAUAUAUAAUGGCAUUCGUAAGAGAAAAAAAGUAAUUUUCUUUAUUUUUUUCUUCUUUUUUCUACUUUUUCUUUUCCACCCUCUACAUAUUUUUCCACUAUCACGCCCUCUCUCGCACUUCGUCGUAGCCAUCGCCCCCACCCACUCCCUGUCGUUCUUAAAUCUUUUGCACGGCCAAGUGCUCCGCCACAAGCCCAUCUUCGCAAUCUAUACCAUAUCUAAGCUGGCAUUGACAAUAGUGCGGGCAAGAUAAGAGAGUAGAACAUGGCGUUGAUGUAAAGACGGUGGAGGAGGAGGAGGAGGAGGAAGGGGAGAAAGAGAUAGGAGAGAAAGCAAGAGGAGGAGGAGAGGAAGAAAAGAUAAGGAAGGAGGUGAACUAGAGUGGAAGGUGUUAAGUCUUGUGUAUUGGCAAGUUUCGUGAAGUGUGUCGGAGUCUUGAAGAAUCGGUGCAUAUCGUUGAAGAUCGAAGAAUUCAAGAUUUCGAAGAAGUUGGAAAAUAACUCACGAUAUGAAUCACGAUGUCCAGGUAAAGUAUAAAUUCAUAUUAUGGUGAUUCAUACUUAGUUGUAGACAUUAGAAUCAUAAUAUCUUUGUCUAACGGAUUAGAAAGUGCAUCGGAACUUUGCAAAACCCGAAACGGCGAAAAUUUGCAAAGUGUACCGGUACAGCAUCAGAAGUGUACCGGUACAAAAUGUGUACCGGUACGACCAUCAAGGGUGUAACCGGUUCCACUGUUUCGUCAGGUUUUUCGUUCCGUCAUUGUGUAACCGGUGACAGCCUAAAGUGUACCGGUACACAAUGUAAAAUCGUGAAAUCUUUCUAAUCCGACUCCAAUUAAUUCUAAAGUCUAUAAAUAAGCUAUUGGGCUUCUCUAACAGAUCAAGCAUCAUAAGAAUACAUGUUUGAGAAACCCUAGAGGCUCGGAUUUUGUUCUAAACCUAUUUUCUACAAAUUAGCCUCUUUAGAUCAAAUCGAGAUAUCGUUUCGCAUUCUCUAUAUGUCGAUUUGAUCUCCGCUUCGCUUGGAGUUUUCUUCCUUGGUUUUCUACGAUACUCCUAAGCGAAGGAUCACCAUAAUCAUGAUGCUCUUCAUGAACGGCGUCGUGGAUUCGGCGUGAACAAAGGCGGUUCGUGGAUUCGGAUCGUUGGCUCGUGGAUUCGAGUGGCGUCGAGGAUUCGGCGUGAUUGGAGCUUCGUGGAUUCGAAGUCGGGGCGUUCGUGGAUUCGGACGUGAGGGUGUGGACAACCCAGAGGAUUGCGCGAGAUCCAUAGGAGGUCAAGAGAGGUUGAGUCCGUGGAGUCGGUAAAUCACCUUGUAAUCUUUUCUCUUAGUGGAUUGUUUUUCCG
rnacentral:lncRNA from 1 species